rnacentral:tRNA from 1 species
GGGGCUGUAGCUCAGUGGUAGAGCAUGUGCUUGGGGUGCACAAGGUCCUGGGUUCAAUCCCCAGUACCUCCA